rnacentral:rRNA from 1 species
AAUGGGCGAAAGCCUGACCCAGCAACGCCGCGUGAAGGAAGAAGGUUUUCGGAUCGUAAACUUCUAUCCUAGGUGAAGAUAAUGACGGUAGCCUAGAAGGAAGCCCCGGCUAACUACGUGCCAGCAGCCGCGGUAAUACGUAGGGGGCAAGCGUUGUCCGGAAUGAUUGGGCGUAAAGGGCGCGUAGGCGGCCGCGUAAGUCCGACGUGAAAUUCCUGCUUUUAAGGUAGGAAUUGCGUUGGAAACUGCGUGGCUUGAGUGCAGGAGAGGUAAGUGGAAUUCCCGGUGUAGCGGUGAAAUGCGUAGAGAUCGGGAGGAACACCAGUGGCGAAGGCGACUUACUGGACUGUAACUGACGCUGAGGCGCGAAAGUGUGGGGAGCAAA